CCUACGGGGGGCAGCAGUGGGGAAUAUUGGACAAUGGGGGCAACCCUGUUCCAGCCAUGCCGCGUGUGUGAAGAAGGCCCUCGGGUUGUAAAGCACUUUCAGUGAGGAAGAACGCCUGGUGGUUAAUACCCAUCAGGAAAGACAUCACUCACAGAAGAAGCACCGGCUAACUCCGUGCCAGCAGCCGCGGUAAUACGGAGGGUGCGAGCGUUAAUCGGAAUUACUGGGCGUAAAGCGCGCGUAGGUGGCUUGAUAAGCCGGUUGUGAAAGCCCCGGGCUCAACCUGGGAACGGCAUCCGGAACUGUCAAGCUAGAGUGCAGGAGAGGAAGGUAGAAUUCCCGGUGUAGCGGUGAAAUGCGUAGAGAUCGGGAGGAAUACCAGUGGCGAAGGCGGCCUUCUGGACUGACACUGACACUGAGGUGCGAAAGCGUGGGUAGCAAACAGGAUUAGAUACCCUAGUAGUC
rnacentral:rRNA from 1 species